rnacentral:rRNA from 1 species
AGCUCCAAUAGCGUAUAUUAAAGUUGUUGCGGUUAAAAAGCUUGUAGUUGGAUCUCACCUCCUGAACCAAAGUACGUUGGCCGGUGGCUACUGUCCGUUUUCGAACACUAAAGCUCGGCGGAUCGGUUGGGAUGCUCUUCAUCGAGUGUCCUGGGCGGCCGGAAUGUUUUCUUUAUAAAAAUUAGGGUACUCAGAGCAUCCAAGGCGUCUGAAUACUUAUGCAUGGAAUAAUGGAAUAGGACCUCAGUUCUUUUUUGUUGGUUUUAAGAGCCCGAGGUAAUGAUUAAUAUAAACAAACGGGGGCAUUCAUAUUGCCAAGUUAGAGUUGAUAUUUUUGGAUCGUCGCAAGACAAACUAAUGAGAUUCCAUUUGCCAAGAAUGUUUUCA